ensembl:lncRNA NIFK-AS1 NIFK antisense RNA 1
GGGAGCUUUGCCCCUCACGGAGAACGUUAGUUGACCCUGAUGGGGACCCGUAGGGUAAAGGUUUUGUUUUUGUUUUUUUUUACGGAAAAGGUUGUGGUUAGGCCCCUUGGAAAGUUGCGACAAAACUCGAGUUAGACAAGGAAGGUCGGAACUAAGUGGCCACAGCAACAAUGCACCAGCAAGCAGGGAGCGUGAUAGGAAGAGCUAAAGAGGAAUCGGGAAACCCUGGGUAAAAGUCGUCCAAGUGGAACUUCCUUUGGUCGGGGGUCUGAUACUCGAAGGAAACGGUCUUUCACUUCUGGGUUAGGGCGUCCGCCCAGAGGGCGACUGCAAUGAAGGAAAUUGUGCCCUGCGACUUCCCGUAACAGAGCUGUGUGUCCACGCUCCCUUUUCCGAGCAGGCGCGGACGCUUGUGCCGGAAGUAAACUUGUUAACGGUUCUUUGCCUUUUGGGGAGGGGAGACAGCCCAGAGAAGGCUUUGGAGACCCUUGAGUCGGCCAGCGAGCAGGGUUUCUUACUUGAGCGCCUCCACAAAUAAACGCUCCUUCGCUCCUCCGUCGCGUGCGUUUCCCUGGGAUAAUAAGUGGGAAAGUGGUGGCUUUUAUUUUUUUGAGACAGGGUCUCACCGCCGUCGCCCAGGCCGGAUGGAGUGCAGUGGCGCGAUCACGGCUCACUGCAGCCUCGACUUCCCAGGCUCAGAGAUGGGUUUCACCAUGUUUCCCAGCCUUGUCUCAAACUCCUGACCUCAAGUGAUCCGCCGUCUUGGGUCUUCGAAAGUGCUGGGACAGCAGGAGUGAGCCACCGCAUCUGGCCCGGAAAGUGUUUUGGAGCGUAGAAAAAUGCAAAUUAUAGGGCUGCCUUCAAGGAUCCCGAAGGACCCACAGAUUUGCCGCAUCAGGCUCCUAUGCACGCCGGUAAUUUGAUGUGUUGAGAUGCACUGCCCAGUGCGUUGUUUUUACUGGAGGAGCUUGUGUGCGGAGCUCCUUGCUAGUGUAUGUGUUGGGAUGGGAGAGAAGUGCGGGAGAACUAUGAGAUAAUGCCCCCUGAUCCUCAGGGUCUUAGGAGGUAUGGUCGGAGAGGCUAAGCUAAAGUAUGAAAGCCGUGUGUAGGCCCUUCUGUGUAGUGCAGAAAAGGUAGAGGUAUGUGAUUUGAAAGAGUAGGGAUGACAUGGAGGAUGCGACUCCUGGUUGGAUCUAUAAACUAAUGUCUUUGGAACGAAAGCACAUGCAACCUUUUGAAAAUGGAUGGGUGAUAAUGAAAGACCAUUCCAGAGAAGAAACACCAUGGUGCAAAGGCUCAAGAGGCAUACUGGAAGUACAAUGAAGAGAGCAAUCUAACUGAAAUGGGAAAAAAAGAAACAAAGAGUAAAAAGUAAGAUUUGAUGAGAAAGAUGGAAUCGAUUUUUAAAUUUUUUUAUCUACACAACAAAAUUUAUUAUCUUAACCAUUUUUGAGUGAAUAAUUCGUUAGUAUUAAGUAUAUUUACCUCGUGCGGCCAGUCUCCAGAAUUCUUUUCAUCUUGCAAAACAAACCCCGAACCCAUUAAACAAUUUCUCAUUCGCCAUUUUCCAGCUAGCCUUGGUAACCUCCAUUCUAGUUCUGUCUCUGUGAAUUUGACUGUGUACCCCGUGUAAGUGGUAUCAUACAGUAUUUGUAUUUUUGUGACUGGCAUAUUUCACAUAGCAUAAUCUCCUUGUGGUUUAUCCAUCUUGUAGCAUGUGUCAGAAUUUCCUUCCCUUUUAAGACUAAAUAAUAUUCCAUUGUGUGUAUAUACCACUUGUGUUAUUUCCACCUUUUGGUUAUUGUGAAUAAUACUGCUUCAAACAUGAGUGUACAGAUAACUCUUCAAGAUCCUUUUAGGGUAAUACAGAGAUAGUAAGUUAUCUUGAUUGUUCACUGCCAGUUACAGACCAAACUCCUUGUUCUCCUUGUGCUCCACUUCUCAACCACUGCACUUGGCUAGUCUUAAACAAAAAAAGAAAAACCCUAAUUUUAAUAGCUUGUGGGGACAGACGCAGUGGCUCACGCCUAUAAUCCCAACACUUUGGGAGGCCGAGGUGGGUGGAUCACUUGAGGUCAAAAGUUCGAGACCAGCCUGGCCAAUAUGGUAAAACCCUGUCUCUACUAAAAAUACAAAAAUUAGCCGGGUACGGUGGCACACACCUGUAAUCCCAGCCACUCAGGAGACUGAGGCAGGAGAAAUGCUUGAACCCAGGAAGUGGAGGUUGUGGUGAACGGAAAUUGCGCCGCCGCACUCAAGCUGGGCGACAGCGAGACUCCGUCUCAAAAAUUAGUAUUAAUAGAAUGUGGGAGAUUUUGAAACCAAGUAUAGAAAUUCAUACUUUAUAUUGUUUAAGGUCCGUGACUAGGCAUAGUAACAUGAUGAAAGAACUGUUUUGGGUUUGUUUGGUUUUUUUCCGAGACAGAGUCUCACUCUGUUGCCCAGGCUGGCGUGCAGUGGUGCGAUCUCGGCUCACUGCAACCUCUGCCUCCCUGGUUGAAGCGAUUCUCUUUCCUCAGCCUCCUGAGUAGCUGGGACUACAGGCACAUGCCACCACGCCCAGCUAAUCGUUGUAUUUUUAGUAGAGGCGGGGUUUCACCAUGUUGGCCAGGAUGGUCUCGAUCUCUUGACCUCGUGAUCCAGCCUCCCAAAGUGCUGGGAUUACAGGCAGGAGCCACCACGCCCAGCUAGAAAGAUCUGUUUCAGAAAGCAACUCUGGCAGUGGAAGCUGAAUACAUACUCCAUUUCUAUAAAGCAUUUAUGGAGGCCUCUAGAUGUGCCAGGCAUUGUACUACUGCUUUAUGUAAAUUAUUGAUGGGUCCGCGAAUCCAUUAAUAUAAAUGUGAGCCAGUUGUUGUGCACCCCAAUUUACAGGCAAGAAAAUCAAGGUUCUGAGUUGCAGAUGGGCUGAGAAAAGGCUCACCAACCACAUGUACGCACAAGAGAUUAGGAAAGAAAACUGCCAUUGGAGCCAGGCUCCAGUAAGCACUGAGUAUUCAUUGGUUUGGAUGAGGAUACUGAAAGAAAAAAAUGACAUGUAAGAGUGACUUUUCUCAGGAGAAAGAAUAGGCUGACAUCAAGAGUCUUUGCUGUCACAUUAGUGGUAUGUAUAAGGGCACAACACAACAGAAGUACAUUUUUCAAGGUUCGUAAAAGAACCCUGGGGUUUGCUUUUAGGUUUGUUUAUUACCUUUAACAAAUAUAAAAUGCCAGGUAAAUAUAUCUUUGUAUGUAGUAG